GACGAACGCUGGCGGCGUGCUUAACACAUGCAAGUCGAACGGAAAGGCCCUGCUUUUGUGGGGUGCUCGAGUGGCGAACGGGUGAGUAACACGUGUGUAACCUGCCCUUGACUUUGGGAUAACUUCAGGAAACUGGGGCUAAUACCGGAUAGGAGCUCCUGCUGCAUGGUGGGGGUUGGAAAGUUUCGGCGGUUGGGGAUGGACUCGCGGCUUAUCAGCUUGUUGGUGGGGUAGUGGCUUACCAAGGCUUUGACGGGUAGCCGGCCUGAGAGGGUGACCGGCCACAUUGGGACUGAGAUACGGCCCAGACUCCUACGGGAGGCAGCAGUGGGGAAUAUUGCGCAAUGGGCGGAAGCCUGAUGCAGCAACGCCGCGUGCGGGAUAACGGCCUUCGGGUUGUAAACCGCUUUCGCCUGUGACGAAGCGUGAGUGACGGUAAUGGGUAAGGAAGCACCGGCUAACUACGUG
rnacentral:rRNA from 1 species